CAUUUAACUUGCCUAAUUAUUUAAGGGAAAAUAACCUAAUAAUACUACUUAAAACUAUAUAUUACAAAACAUAAGAAUGUUUUUCAUUAUUUACAAAACAUAUAAACUUAUUUACAAAACAUAAUGGAUCUGAAAAAAUAAAAGUUCACCCUUCCAUUCCCUUUUCUCAGCCACCCACCUUUCCCUUCCCCUUAGAUGCAGCCCCCACCCUUCCCUUAGGGUUUUCUUCCUAGAAUAAUACCCUAUAUUGUCUUGUAAUCUCGUUUGAAUAUCCACACCACAUACAGACCCACCAUAGCCGAUCCUCAGAGAAGAAGAGACACACCACAAGUGUUUCAAUGGGUAAAUUUCUCACCAGGUGCUUACACUUAUGUGUAAUCUCGUUCGAAUGUAACUUCAAAGAAAAUAAUUGCUAGAGAAGAUGAACGGAAAAUAUAUAUUUCGUGCGAAAAUGUGCCAUCUCAAACUUCCAACUUCGGCUGAUUUGCACAAAUAACCACUUUUGCGACGAUGAUGAUGACUGCAACGAUGACGAUGACCACAAAUUCUUUCCCUUUUGCCCUUAUUGUAAUUUCCUGUUUUACCUCAUGUAUAACAAAAAAAAUCUAUAUUUUCUGAUUUUGUUAGAAAAUGAAGAGAUUUGUAUUAGUAUUAUAUGAAAGUUGUCUACAAUGUUAUUGUAGUUGUAUUAAAUUUCAGCAUUUCGAAGCGAGAUUAGAAAUUGCAUUAAAUUUUUA